GAUGAACGCUGGCGGCGUGCCUAAUACAUGCAAGUCGAGCGAACAGAUAAGGAGCUUGCUCCUUUGACGUUAGCGGCGGACGGGUGAGUAACACGUGGGUAACCUAUCUAUAAGACUGGAAUAACUCCGGGAAACCGGGGCUAAUGCCGGAUAACAUGUUGAACCGCAUGGUUCUACAGUGAAAGGCGGCUUUGCUGUCACUUAUAGAUGGACCCGCGCCGUAUUAGCUAGUUGGUGAGGUAACGGCUCACCAAGGCAACGAUACGUAGCCGACCUGAGAGGGUGAUCGGCCACACUGGAACUGAGACACGGUCCAGACUCCUACGGGAGGCAGCAGUAGGGAAUCUUCCGCAAUGGGCGAAAGCCUGACGGAGCAACGCCGCGUGAGUGAAGAAGGUCUUCGGAUCGUAAAACUCUGUUAUUAGGGAAGAACAAAUGCGUAAGUAACUGUGCGCGUCUUGACGGUACCUAAUCAGAAAGCCACGGCUAACUACGUG
rnacentral:rRNA from 1 species